CGGAAAGCGUUGAUGUGGAGACUCGGCGCGCGCGCGCGCGCGCCUGGCCGGAACUACUUUUGAGGACGCGCAGGCACAAAGGCGUCCCUCGCUCGCGGCCAGCCUACAGCCUGGGAUAGCCGCAAGGAAGGAUGCUCAGAAUUCAAGUGAUGAUCGCAAGCAUUGUCGGCCUACCGAGUCCAGACAGGAAACACAACCAGAUGGACUAAUUCUACGAAACACAAAACUCUCGUGAUGGGGAAUUUUGCCAAGCAUGAUCCCUCCAGGAAAUGCCUACGUUCUGCUAUUCACAACUUUCUCCUUUACGAAGGUACGGGAAGAUGAGCCGUCCUUGACUUGAUACAACCCUUGGGACAUUUAAUUCGGGAAGUUGAAAUAGUAGGAAUGUGGGGAGCAGCAGGUGCAUAAUCUUGGAGUUCUUGAUUUUAAGGAAAACUGAAACUGAGCUAUCGUGAAAGAAAAAAAGUGGAUUUUAAUAAAAACAGAACCGAGAGCAACUGCUGGGUGUUCAAAAAA